AGAGUUUGAUCCUGGCUCAGGAUGAACGUUGGCGGCGUGCCUAACACAUGCAAGUCGAGCGAUUUACUUCGGUAAAGAGCGGCGGACGGGUGAGUAACGCGUGGGUAACCUGCCCUGUACACACGGAUAGCAUACCGAAAGGUAUGCUAAUACGAGAUAAUAUGCUUUUAUCGCAUGGUAGAAGUAUCAAAGCUUUUGCGGUACAGGAUGGACCCGCGCCUGAUUAGCUAGUUGGUAAGGUAACGGCUUACCAAGGCGACGAUCAGUAGCCGACCUGAGAGGGUGAUCGGCCACAUUGGAACUGAGACACGGUCCAAACUCCUACGGGAGGCAGCAGUGGGGAAUAUUGCACAAUGGGCGAAAGCCUGAUGCAGCAACGCCGCGUGAGCGAUGAAGGCCUUCGGGUCGUAAAGCUCUGUCCUCAAGGAAGAUAAUGACGGUACUUGAGGAGGAAGCCCCGG
rnacentral:rRNA from 1 species